rnacentral:lncRNA from 1 species
GGUUUUUUAAUAAGGAGUAUUUUACUAGUUUAUAAGGUGUGCUUAUUGACUAUACAGUGGCGAACACUUACUUUUGGUUGAUAUAUUGACAGGGGCGAACACCAUAUACAUAAGGUGCAUAUUAUGUUUCUGGUUCCGUCCCUGUCCUUGAGCUUCCAACGAAACUAAAAGAAGCGGACGAAGAGGCUAAUAAGGCCAACUUGUUUGCUCAAAAAGCUCGCAAAGUGCUUCGGAGAGUGAAGGAUGAAGAGCUUUUGAAAGGUUGCUAAUACAAGCAAUUAAACCAUUGCAAGAGAGCGAAUCGACUAUAGAAGCAACAACAAUGAAGUGGAUCCAUCGAUUGGUGUGAUAUUUUCGGUCGAGGAGUACUAUCAUCUUGCGACAUAUUAUUGUGCUUAUUAGUUGUACUAUAUUUAUAUUAGCACGUGAGUAAACAGUUAUAUAACAUAUGUUCAAGAUCGUAGUUCAAUUGAUAAAAAUGUCGCAACGAAAAUUAUGAGUGGAAUUCGAAAUUCGGCUCCCUCAUUUAUGUGUUCUACUUUUAUGUUUCUUUUAUACUGUUAGCAGUCAAUAAUAUGUACAAGUAGAUAUUUAAACAUGGGUUAUGUUAACUUGUGCCCUAAGGGCACAUGUUAAGCUACCUAAAAAUAGAAAUAGAGCAUUUAAUGAUAGAAAACAUUUAAUGUUUAGAGAAUUGAAUACACUACAAGUUCAUUAAAUUUUUUCCACAUUUAUCUUCUUAACAUGUGCCCUUAAGGGCACAAGUUAACAUUCUCCUUUAAACAUUAAUAUUGCAGUAAAUAAUGUACACACAUAAUGCAAUAAAUAAAUUAAACACAACCAACGGUCUUUCAGUACUUCUUCCAAAUCCAUAAGUGCAGUUCCCAUCCAGAAGAAGCUACCACCGUUUUAGGAAAAGCAACAAAAU